rnacentral:rRNA from 1 species
AACGAACGCUGGCGGCAUGCCUAACACAUGCAAGUCGAACGAGACCUUCGGGUCUAGUGGCGCACGGGUGCGUAACGCGUGGGAACCUGCCCUUAGGUUCGGAAUAACUCCCCGAAAGGGGUGCUAAUACCGGAUAAUGUCUUCGGACCAAAGAUUUAUCGCCUUUGGAUGGGCCCGCGUUGGAUUAGCUAGUUGGUAGGGUAAAAGCCUACCAAGGCGACGAUCCAUAGCUGGUCUGAGAGGAUGAUCAGCCACACUGGGACUGAGACACGGCCCAGACUUCCACGGGGGGCAGGAGGGGGGAAAAUUGGAAAAGGGGGGAAAGCCUGACCCAGCAAUGCCGGGUGGGGGAUGAAGGCCUGAGGGUUGGAAAGCCCUUUUACCCGGGGUGAUAAUGGAAAGACCGGGAAAAUAAGCCCCGGCUAACCCCG